AACGGGUAGGAUGUGAGGCACAGGUUUAUGUGCACGCCAUCUCCUCCUCUUCCUCAGAUCCAGAUGAAGGACUUUCGUUUCUCCUACAAAUUCAAGAUGGCGUGUAAAGAGGACGUGCUCAAGCUCUGCCCCAACAUCAAGAAGAAGGUGGAUGUAGUGAUCUGUCUCAGUACUACAGUGAGGAAUGACACUCUGCAGGACGUCAAGGAGCAGCGUGUCUCUCUCAAGUGUCGGAAACAACUCAGAGUAGAGGAGCUGGAGAUGUCAGAGGACAUUCGUCUGGAACCAGAGUUGUAUGACGUGUGUAAGAC